rnacentral:rRNA from 1 species
CAGUAGCCGCGGUAAUACGAAGGGGGCUAGCGUUGCUCGGAAUCACUGGGCGUAAAGGGUGCGUAGGCGGGUCUUUAAGUCAGGGGUGAAAUCCUGGAGCUCAACUCCAGAACUGCCUUUGAUACUGAGGAUCUUGAGUAUGGGAGAGGUGAGUGGAACUGCGAGUGUAGAGGUGAAAUUCGUAGAUAUUCGCAAGAACACCAGUGGCGAAAGCGGCUCACUGGCCCAUAACUGACGCUGAGGCACGAAAGCGUGGGGAGCAAACAGGAUUAGAUACCCCCGUAGUCCCUGUCUCUUAUAA